rnacentral:rRNA from 1 species
UACGAAGGUGGCAAGCGUUGUUCGGAUUCACUGGGCGUACAGGGUGUGUAGGCGGUUUGGUAAGCCUUCUGUUAAAGCUUCGGGCCCAACCCGGAAAGCGCAGAGGGUACUGCCAGGCUAGAGGACGGGAGAGGAGCGCGGAAUUCCCGGUGUAGCGGUGAAAUGCGUAGAGAUCGGGAGGAAGGCCGGUGGCGAAGGCGGCGCUCUGGAACGUUACUGACGCUGAGGCACGAAAGCGUGGGGAGCGAACAGG